GACGAACGCUGGCGGCGUGCUUAACUCAUGCAAGUCGAACGGUAAGGCCCUUCGGGGUACACGAGUGGCGAACGGGUGAGUAACACGUGGGUGAUCUGCCCUGCACUUCGGGAUAAGCCUGGGAAACUGGGUCUAAUACCGGAUAGGACCACUGCCUGCAUGGGUGGUGGUGGAGAGCUUUUGCGGUGUGGGAUGGGCCCGCGGCCUGUCAGCUUGUUGGUGGGGGGAUGGCCUACCAAGGCGACGACGGGUAGCCGGCCUGAGAGGGGGACCGGCCACACUGGGACUGAGAUACGGCCCAGACGCCUACGGGAGGCAGCAGUGGGGAAUAUUGCACAAUGGGCGCAAGCCUGAUGCAGCGACGCCGCGUGAGGGAUGACGGCCUUCGGGUUGUAAACCUCUUUCAGCACCGACGAAGCGCAAGUGACGGUAGGUGCAGAAGAAGGACCGGCCAACUACGUGCCAGCCGCCGCGGUAA
rnacentral:rRNA from 1 species